UACGUAGGGUGCAAGCGUUGUCCGGAAUUAUUGGGCGUAAAGAGCGUGUAGGCGGCUUGAUUAGUCUGCUGUGAAAGUCCAGGGCUCAACCCUGGAAUGCCGGUGGAUACUGUCAAGCUAGAGUCCGGAAGGGGCGAGUGGAAUUCCUGGUGUAGCGGUGAAAUGCGCAGAUAUCAGGAGGAACACCGGUGGCGAAGGCGGUUCUCUGGGCCGAUACUGACGCUGAGGAGCGAAAGCGUGGGGAGCGAACAGG
rnacentral:rRNA from 1 species